rnacentral:rRNA from 1 species
GAGGAAAAGAAACUAACAAGGAUUCCCGUAGUAACUGCGAGUGAAGCGGGAAAAGCUCAAAUUUAAAAUCUGGCGGUCUCUGGCCGUCCGAGUGGUAAUCUAGAGAAGUAAUGCCCGUGCUGGACCGUGUAUAAGUCUCCUGGGAUGGGGCGUCAUAGAGGGUGAGAAUCCCGUCUUUGACACGGACUACCAGUGCAUUGUGGUAUGCUCUCAAAGAGUCGAGUUGUUUGGGAAUGCAGCUCAAAAUGGGUGGUAAAUUCCAUCUAAAGCUAAAUAUUGGCGAGAGACCGAUAGCGAACAAGUACCGUGAGGGAAAGAUGAAAAGAACUUUGGAAAGAGAGUUAAACAGUACGUGAAAUUGCUGAAAGGGAAACGCUUGAAGUCAGUCGCGUUGGCUGGGGAUCAGCCUUGCUUUUGCAUGGUGUAUUUUCUGGUUGACGGGUCAGCAUCAAUUUUGACCACUGGAAAAAGGCCUGGGGAAUGUGGCAGCUUCGGCUGUGUUAUAGCCCCUAGUCGCAUACAGUGGUUGGGAUUGAGGAACUCAGCACGCCGCAAGGCCGGGUUUCGACCACGUUCGUGCUUAGGAUGCUGGCAUAAUGGCUUUAAGCGACCCGUCUUGAAACACGGACCAAGGAGUCUAACAUGCCUGCG